UACGGAGGGUGCGAGCGUUGUCCGGAAUCACUGGGCGUAAAGGGCGCGUAGGCGGCAUGCCAAGCGUGUGGUGAAAGCCCGGGGCUCAACCCCGGGUCGGCCGUGCGGACUGGCGUGCUCGAGCACUGUAGGGGCGGGUGGAAUUCCGGGUGUAGCGGUGGAAUGCGUAGAGAUCCGGAAGAACACCGGUGGCGAAGGCGGCCCGCUGGGCAGGAAGGCUCGCGCAAGAGCCGGCUGACGCUGAGGCGCGACAGCGUGGGGAGCAAACAGG
rnacentral:rRNA from 1 species